GGGGAAUAUUGCACAAUGGGGGAAACCCUGAUGCAGCGACGCCGCGUGAGUGAGGAAGUAUUUCGGUAUGUAAAGCUCUAUCAGCAGGGAAGAAAAUGACGGUACCUGACUAAGAAGCCCCGGCUAACUAC
rnacentral:rRNA from 1 species